ACGAUCUUACUUGAACAGGAUCUGUUCUAUAGAUUGUACCUCUGUAUUCUUGAAUUCUAAGAAGACAGGAAAUCAAGUCUGGUGGAUGAUAUAAGCCUGCUUGGUCAGGGCGUGAUUAGCAGCUCGAUGGUUCGUUGAGAGUCAUCAGGGCAGUAGAGGAUCGUUCUCAGUCGGGUUUACUCGGCUGGGAUGGUCAAGCAGUUGUCUGACAGACU
rnacentral:snoRNA from 1 species